rnacentral:rRNA from 1 species
CCUACGGGCGGCAGCAGUGGGGAAUAUUGGACAAUGGGGGCAACCCUGAUCCAGCCAUGCCGCGUGUGUGAAGAAGGCCCUCGGGUUGUAAAGCACUUUCAGUGAGGAAGAACGCCUGGUGGUUAAUACCCAUCAGGAAAGACAUCACUCACAGAAGAAGCACCGGCUAACUCCGUGCCAGCAGCCGCGGUAAUACGGAGGGUGCGAGCGUUAAUCGGAAUUACUGGGCGUAAAGCGCGCGUAGGUGGCUUGAUAAGCCGGUUGUGAAAGCCCCGGGCUCAACCUGGGAACGGCAUCCGGAACUUUCAAGCUAGAGUGCAGGAGAGGAAGGUAGAAUUCCCGGUGUAGCGGUGAAAUGCGUAGAGAUCGGGAGGAAUACCAGUGGCGAAGGCGGCCUUCUGGACUGACACUGACACUGAGGUGCGAAAGCGUGGGUCGCAAACAGGAUUAGAUACCCGAGUAGUC